rnacentral:lncRNA from 1 species
UGACCUGGGUGUGCGAACUUUGUUCUAGACUUGAUUUGAAUUUCGAUGUUCUUUCCCAGUUGUGUUACAGUUCUAUUGUGCCAUUGGUUUGUGCUUUAUACACUUGCCUAUUUGGCGUUUUAAUGAAAUGAGAUAUCAAUUCGAAAAGAAAAAAAUGCACUCCCGAACAGAAAAGUGGGGCUACAUACUGCAUUUUGCCAAGAAAUAUUUUCUAAAUCAAGUAUGGAAAUUGGGUACCAUGUGAAAUAAAGAAUUGAAUUGGUCAUUUUCUAUUUCUUUUUUUAUAUUUAAAAUGUACUCUUUUUAUUUAUUUAUUUUAAAUUUGGGGUUGGCAAUGUGACUUUUUCCUGGCAUGAUAAUUGGCGCCGAGAGGGGCCUUGGGCUCUCCUGGUGUGGCCUAACAAGAAAGAAGGGUCAGGUUCUUGGUUGGUCUUGGGCUUCCUUAUGGGUUGUUGGGCCUUUCAGCCUAGUGAUUGUAUUUUCUUUUUGGGGCUUAUUGACCUUUUUAUUACUUGGCCACCCAGAUCCAAUUUAAUCCGACAUGGUUUAAGAUCCGAUCCAAUUAAUUUUGAACUAUUGGUUAGAUAAUUAAUGAUACGAAAAAGUAUCAAUUCUUGUCAAAAUUAAUGCAAUCAAACAUUUUAAUAGAUGGCAAUGGCACCAUAGUGGAAAAGUGAGCCAAAUUCUCUCAUUUCUUUCCUUCCAAAGUAGAUCUAAAAUUGAUUCACAUAAGAGAUAAUCUUGAAGCAACGAAAUAUAUUACUCUCCCAUCCCCCCACUCCCUA